GAUAACAAACCAAGUAAUGAUAAAGUUGUUGAGGUCAUGACACAAAUGAAGGACCUUGGGGCGCAAUCCAAUGCUACAGAUGAAGAAAUUAUCACACAGGUUCUAGGGCCUGAGCGACCUGGUCGUGUUCGAACAUAUGGAUUGGGUCCUUCCCCGACAGAUGUCUUUGGAGGCGGAUAUAGGCAAUCGCAAGAACAAACUCGUAUCAUCCAAACGCAAGUCCAAGAGCAACUUAACCAAUAUAAAACACAAAUGGAGAUACAAAUAAAGGAGAUGAUGGAUGCUAUGCUUAAUCAACAGAAAGUACAAAUGGAGAUGCAAAGCACAAUCCAAGCUCAAUAAGCACGAAUAGAGCAAUUGGAGUUUCAACAGGCCAUGGGUGGGCCUGUUGCACCAGCUGCUACACAUGUGCAUUCACAACAACAAUCCCAUGCAUACACCUCAUCGUUUAAUUGCCAUCGUUCGUCCGAGGAAGUUCACAUAUCAAAGAAA